UCUACGGGCGGCUGCAGUGGGGAAUAUUGGACAAUGGGGGCAACCCUGAUCCAGCCAUGCCGCGUGUGUGAAGAAGGCCCUCGGGUUGUAAAGCACUUUCAGUGAGGAAGAACGCCUGGUGGUUAAUACCCAUCAGGAAAGACAUCACUCACAGAAGAAGCACCGGCUAACUCCGUGCCAGCAGCCGCGGUAAUACGGAGGGUGCGAGCGUUAAUCGGAAUUACUGGGCGUAAAGCGCGCGUAGGUGGCUUGAUAAGCCGGUUGUGAAAGCCCCGGGCUCAACCUGGGAACGGCAUCCGGAGCGACGAGUGCAGGGGCAAGAGGAGGAAGGUAGAAUCGCCGGGGGAGGGGGGCCAGUGGCAAUGAGCGGGCACAGGGGCUGGGUCGGAGGAGGCCGACAGCACUAACACUGACACUGAAGUGCGUAGGCUUCUGUGACAAACGGGACCAUGUACCCUGGUGCUG
rnacentral:rRNA from 1 species